rnacentral:misc_RNA from 1 species
ACGUUUAGCGCACAAUAGUUCUGCUGUUUUUCUUUGUAACAGAUUCAAGAAUCUUGUACAUCCAUCCAUCUAGCAUGCCUGUCAAGGCAAAUGUACCACCCAAAACUGCACAGAGCCGAGUGAUGAAGUGCAGAAAACUGCGACGUUCUUCUCUAAUGGUCACGGUAAUUGGUGACAGAUCAUAUAAGAAGUAUACAGCUGGCCAUGUCCGUUCAAAAUCAUGGAUGGGAGAAAAGUACUCCGUUACAGAAAAUUGAUUUGUUGGUAAAACUUCUUUUGAUAUAUAUCUAUACUCAGUUGGAACAACCUUAAUGUAAUAUUUGAAUGUGCCACUUGUUCCACGCAGAAUUCGUGAUGUUCCAUCUAGCGGGUUGUGAAUACCUGGAUAUUUGGGCCCAAAUGAUAAAUCAUGGAUGAUAUGGCUUACAUUGACAUGAGUAGACUUUUCAAAAAUCAUUUGAGCAACAAAAA